rnacentral:tRNA from 1 species
AGGGGUGUAGCUCAGUUGGUAGAGCAGCGGUCUCCAAAACCGCGUGUCGUGGGUUCAAGUCCUGUCACCCCUGCCA